UACGGAGGGGGCUAGCGUUGUUCGGAAUUACUGGGCGUAAAGCGCGCGUAGGCGGCUUUGUAAGUCAGAGGUGAAAGCCCGGAGCUCAACUUCGGAAUUGCCUUUGAGACUGCAUCGCUUGAAUCCGGGAGAGGUGAGUGGAAUUCCGAGUGUAGAGGUGAAAUUCGUAGAUAUUCGGAAGAACACCAGUGGCGAAGGCGGCUCACUGGACCGGUAUUGACGCUGAGGUGCGAAAGCGUGGGGAGCAAACAGG
rnacentral:rRNA from 2 species